rnacentral:rRNA from 1 species
CUACGGGGGGCAGCAGUGGGGAAUAUUGGACAAUGGGGGAAACCCUGAUCCAGCAAUGCCGCGUGUGUGAAGAAGGCCUGCGGGUUGUAAAGCACUUUCGGUUGGGAGGACUGCUUCUAGCACUAAUAUUGUUGGAAGUUGACGUUACCUUCAGAAGAAGCACCGGCUAACUCCGUGCCAGCAGCCGCGGUAAUACGGAGGGUGCAAGCGUUAAUCGGAAUUACUGGGCGUAAAGCGCGCGUAGGCGGCUAGAUCAGUCGGGUGUGAAAGCCCUGGGCUUAACCUGGGAACUGCAUCCGAUACUGUCUAGCUUGAGUACAGGAGAGGAGAGUGGAAUUCCACAUGUAGCGGUGAAAUGCGUAGAUAUGUGGAGGAACACCAAUGGCGAAGGCAGCUCUCUGGCCUGAUACUGACGCUGAGGUGCGGAAGCGUGGGGAGCAAACAGGAUUAGAUACCCUUGUAGUC